rnacentral:misc_RNA from 1 species
UUUCCGUAGGUGAACCUGCGGAAGGAUCAUUAAAGAGUAAGGGUCUUCGGGCCCGAUCUCCAACCCUUUGUUUAACUACCAUGUUGCUUUGGCGGGCCCGUCUCACGACCGCCGGAAGUUUGGCUUCGACCAAACUUCUGGCCCGUGCCCGUCAGUGGCCCCUUCAAAUUCUUGAUCAAGUGUGAUGUCUUAGUUAAAAACUUAAUAGUUAAAACUUUCAACAACGGAUCUCUUGGUUCUG